CUUCCGGUCGCGGGACACCGGGUGUAGAGGGCGGUCGCGGCGGGCAGUGGCGGCAGAAAGUGUUGUGAAGAGCGAAGACUUUUCGCUCCCAGCUUAUAUGGAUCGGCGUGACCACCCCUUGCCGGAGGUGGCCCAUGUCAAGCACCUGUCUGCCAGCCAGAAGGCCUUGAAGGAGAAGGAGAAGGCCUCCUGGAGCAGCCUCUCCAUGGAUGAGAAAGUCGAGUGUGGGUAUUGAAGGGACCCACAGGCGCGCCCAGCAGCUCUCAGAAGUGUGUGUGUGACAGAGCCUCUGCUCACUUCUGGGCCUACUGUCUAGAGAGCAGUCUUGCACAGGAGGGUUGCUCUGCUGGGUUUCGGGGUCACUGUCCCAGGGCCCUAGUUUAUGUGCUCACCAGUCACUUAGCUCUGCCAGCUGACAGGAUCUUUUGCUAGGCCCCCUUCUCUGUGCUGAGUGGAGGUACCCUCUCAGCAUAUCUGCUGGGUAAGACAUUGUUAACUGUAAAUUAUUGAAAGAAACUCAGCAAAAUGCAUAGUGUUUGGUAUGAAA
rnacentral:sRNA from 1 species